AUCCUGUUAUUCGGAUAACCGAAAGCUGUGACGAUCCGCGCAUUGUUCUCUCUUUCACCUCUCAUCAGCAGCUAUGCCCUCCCUUCUAUUUAAACGCAUUGGUUUCUGGCGUUGAGAUCUAGGGUGACAAUACUGUGAGUUCCGGGCAAAAAGAAUCUCCCUUUUGACAUUCCACAUUCAGUACACUCCUGGAGUGUUAGAUAUGGAUAGGAGACAGGCAACCACGUGCAUCCUCUUACUAAUCGUGUUACUUGGUAAUUUUGCUUCCGCGGCAGACGACGACUAUUGCUGGGAAGAAUACAAUGAGAGCGCAUUAUGCUUUGGUUUCGUCUGCAAGGCAGAGUGCUGGCUGAACGCGAAACUGGAAUAUGCGGGCACAAAACCAAGUGUCAAGGGAUACAAGUGUACGGGAUCAAAACUGAAACACCGUUGUCACUGCUAUUAUUGUGUACCGUGGUCCAACUAGAAAGAUAAUGGGAAAACUUUGUUUUUGCCACUCUAACUUUUGCCCACUUUGCUUAUGCCACUCUAGGAUUUAACAAUUCACUUUUGCCACUCUUAGUUUUUGACAAUAUAUCAAUUUUGCCAUUCAGUGGCAAAAGCAAAAUUUUCAAAGUGGCAAUUAUGAUACAUUGCAAAACCUAAUAGUGGCAAAAGUGAAAUGAAAAAAUAUUGUUUUUGCCACUGAAUGGUAUUUGUGAUGUAUUGUCAAAAGUUAAGAGUGGCAAAAGUGAGAUGUCAAAUUCUAGAGUGGCAUAAGCAAAGUUGGCAAAAACUAGAACGGCAAAAAUAAAGUUUUCCGAAAGAUAAUCUCACGUUCUUUGUUUUUUCAAUCUUAGCAUCAUGUUUACCAGCUUGUAUCACCGUGGACAGUGUAUUUAGUUCUGUCUCGGUAGGUAUAAUCAAUAGAAGUUAGUAGUUCAUCCGUUAUUACUCUAUAUAUUUGCCAGUUGUCCUUUUGUGCUUCGGUGCUACCACUAAUAAUUUAGUUUUGCUUUGACUAA